GAUGAACGCUGGCGGCGUGCCUAAUACAUGCAAGUCGAGCGAACAGACGAGGAGCUUGCUCCUCUGACGUUAGCGGCGGACGGGUGAGUAACACGUGGAUAACCUACCUAUAAGACUGGGAUAACUUCGGGAAACCGGAGCUAAUACCGGAUAAUAUAUUGAACCGCAUGGUUCAAUAGUGAAAGACGGUUUUGCUGUCACUUAUAGAUGGAUCCGCGCCGCAUUAGCUAGUUGGUAAGGUAACGGCUUACCAAGGCAACGAUGCGUAGCCGACCUGAGAGGGUGAUCGGCCACACUGGAACUGAGACACGGUCCAGACUCCUACGGGAGGCAGCAGUAGGGAAUCUUCCGCAAUGGGCGAAAGCCUGACGGAGCAACGCCGCGUGAGUGAUGAAGGUCUUCGGAUCGUAAAACUCUUUUAUUAGGGAAGAACAAAUGUGUAAGUAACUAUGCACGUCUUGACGGUACCUAAUCAGAAAGCCACGGCUAACUACGU
rnacentral:rRNA from 1 species